rnacentral:misc_RNA from 2 species
AUUUCUUCGAGCGCCAGCUUUUGCAAAGAAGCUGACGGAUCGGUACUGAGGGCUGCCAUUUGCACUGGCUCCCUCGAAAUACAUCAGCUGGACUGCACAUGCUAGAGGAAGGAUAUACGUCCCUCUCCCUCCGGAUUUUGAUAAUUAUCAAAGGACGGACGUGAUGGAAACUUCUUGUCUCGACCAUGGUAGCUGGCUUUGAGCCGCCUCCCCCCGGGGAAGGAUUUUAUUC